UUAAUAACAGGCGGCGGCCUACANAUGCAAGUCGACUGGAUGAAGAGAGCUUGCUCUCUGAUUCAGCGGCGGACGGGUGAGUAAUGCCUAGGAAUCUGCCUGGUAGUGGGGGACAACGUCUCGAAAGGGACGCUAAUACCGCAUACGUCCUACGGGAGAAAGCAGGGGACCCUCGGGCCUUGCGCUAUCAGAUGAGCCUAGGUCGGAUUAGCUAGUUGGUGAGGUAAUGGCUCACCAAGGCGACGAUCCGUAACUGGUCUGAGAGGAUGAUCAGUCACACUGGAACUGAGACACGGGCCAGACUCCUACGGGAGGCAGCAGUGGGGAAUAUUGGACAAUGGGCGAAAGCCUGAUCCAGCCAUGCCGCGUGUGUGAAGAAGGUCUUCGGAUUGUAAAGCACUUUAAGUUGGGAGGAAGGGCAGUAAGCGAAUACCUUGCUGUUUUGACGUUACCGACAGAAUAAGCACCGGCUAACUCUGUGCCAGCAGCCGCGGUAAU
rnacentral:rRNA from 1 species